rnacentral:RNase_P_RNA from 1 species
AGUGGGUCGGACGACCGCGGCGCGUCUUGUACGCGAUGAGGAAAGUCCGGGCUUCACAGGGCAGGAUGCCGGCUAACGGCCGGUGUCACAGAAAAGAAGACUCCCGCGCAUGCGCGGGAAAAGCUGAAACGGUGCGGUAAGAGCGCACCAGCGUCAUGGCAACAUGGCGGCUUGACAAACCCCAUCCGAAGCAAGGGCAAAUAGGGGUGCUAUGGACUGGCCCGGUCUGCAUCCGGGUUGCUCGCUCGACGGCGCUGGCAACGGCGUCGCUAGAUAAAUGGUCGUCUUCAAGGACAGAACCCGGCUUACAGGCUCACUU